rnacentral:rRNA from 1 species
AUUCCAGCUCCAAUAGCGUAUACUAAAGUUGUUGCAGUUAAAAAGCUCGUAGUUGAAUUUCUGGUCGUGGCGAUCGGUCCGCCCCUCACGGGGUGUGCACCUGGUCUCUACGUCCAUCCUCGGGGAGAGCGCGUCUGGCAUUCAGUUGUCGGGCGCGGGAUCCUCGUCAUUUACUGUGAGCAAAAUAGAGUGUUCAAAGCAGGCUUAGGCCGUUGAAUACAUUAGCAUGGAAUAAUAAGAUAGGACCUUGGUCUAUUUUGUUGGUUUGCAUUCCAAGGUAAUGAUUAAUAGGGAUAGUUGGGGGUAUUCGUAUUCAAUUGUCAGAGGUGAAAUUCUUGGAUUUAUGGAAGACGAACUACUGCGAAAGCAUUUACCAAGGAUGUUUUCAUCA